rnacentral:misc_RNA from 1 species
CCUUUCAUGCAGCAGAAUUGGGAUGGUUGAGUAUCUCGCCUCUCCGUUCUGCCUGUAUUCUACCCUUGUUUGUCAUAUACUAUUAUUUCCUCGGCAGGCUUGCCUGCGAGUGAAACCAUUAUAACCUUUUAAUUUUUCAAUCAGCGUCUGAAAAAAAUUAAUAAUUA